rnacentral:rRNA from 1 species
UACAGAGGUCCCGAGCGUUGUUCGGAUUCACUGGGCGUAAAGGGUGCGUAGGUGGCCUGGUAAGUUUGAUGUGAAAGCUCAGGGCUCAACCCUGAAAUGGCAUUGAAUACUACUGUGCUGGAGGUUUGGAGGGGGGACUGGAAUUCUUGGUGUAGCAGUGAAAUGCGUAGAUAUCAAGAGGAACACCAGUGGCGAAGGCGAGUCCCUGGACAACACCUGACACUGAGGCACGAAAGCUAGGGGAGCAAACAGG